rnacentral:lncRNA from 10 species
AAAAAGAAGUGAGACGUUUAAGAGGGGAUUAGGUCAUGAGGGCUCUGCCCUCGUGAAUGGAUCAAUGCCGUUAUCGAGGAAGUGUGUUAGUUGUGGGAUUGGGUCCUGAUAAAAGGAUAAGUUUGGCAGAUUUCCUUUCUCUGUCUUGCAUACUUCCACCAUGUCAUGCCUUCUGUCAUGUCAUGAUGCAGCAAGGAGGCCCUCACCAGACAGGACCCCUUGAUCUUGGACUUCUUGCCCUCCAGAACCAUAAGCCAAAUAAAUCUCUUUUUUUUUUAAAUAAAUUACCCAGUCAGUAGUUCAUCUUAUAUGAUCCCCAUAAACAUUUUGCAGGAUAAAGAAAUUGAAGUAAGGUGUCCAAAGUCACAUCGUUAAUAAGAGGUCACAUCCGGGCUGGGUGUGGCGGCUCAUACUUGUAAUCUUAGCACUUUGGGAGGCUGAGGUGGGAGAAUCACUUGAGUUCUGGAGUUGGAGACUAGCCUGAGCAACAUAGUGAGACCUCGUCUCUAAAAAAAAAAAAAAAAAAAAAAAGUCACACCAGGAGUUGAGCCCAGGCAGCCCAGCUGCAGCAUCCAGCUCAGCCACCCCACGUUGCUCAUUACAGGUGUGAGCUGCUGUGCCCAACCCCUUCUCCCUUUCUCCCU